ensembl:lncRNA
AGCGGUUGUGCUUGACCGUGCAGUUUUGGGCACAGUCUUGCACCUUUCUCGGUGUCACCCGGCCCUCCCCUCCCUGCAGGAGGAUUUCAGUUUCUCAUUGAGCUUCCUGGUGUUUUUCAGGAAAGGAAGACGGGGAAUAAACAAGCCUUACAUUUCUAAGGGUCUACUUCUCCCUUUGCCUCUGAGGCUGAGACGUGCCACUGACAUUUCUCUGCCUCGCCAGGGCAUAGUGAUCCAUGCAGAAGCUGCUCACAGGGGCUCGCAGCUCUUUGCAAACAGCACCAUGUCUCUGUUGCAGGCUGCCCUGCAGAACCUCCUCUUGAGCAGAGACACCUUUCAAGGUUACUCCUCGAGGUCAAGAGAUUCCUUACCUGCGACAGAUCCUUGUGAAGCUUCCCACCAUCACUGAAGGAGCACUUCAUCUUUCAAUGAGAUGAAAAAGAGUAUCAGUGGGAGUGACUGAUCAUGGUCUUGUUUCAUGCAGUGGCAACUUUCAAGCGGAAGGUUAAAGCAGCUCAUGAAAGAUUGUACUGGCCCUUAAAAAUUUUGCUAUGAGUAAUCAUCUGGGAACAUAGCUUAUUUAUGUGACCUCUUUGAUAUGCCACAGAUCAGGAAAUCUCAGGGAUAUCUGUUUUACGUCAGUCUAGAUCAACAGGCGACCACACAUCUCCAACAUAUGCUGAGUUUCUACACCAAACUCAGCAUACUUCACGUAAAGUCUUUCUCAGCCUGGAUGUUGCUGGCAAAAACAACCGUCUGCUAUUUUACUUUCUGAAAGGACGAUCCUUGGUGUAGACCAGUGUGCUAGGAAGACAGCCCGUGGUAACUCUUCUCAUGCAAAGUUUUUAAGGCCAUUGCCAAGCACAGAGAAGCCAGGGCUCAUGUCAGAGCCACAGCGCCCAGCUCGCACCUUCCUGGGAGCGCGGCUGGGAGCAGCAGAGCUGAACUUGCCUACAGCUGUCCCCAUUUCCUAGGAAUGGCCAAACACAGCUGGCUUCGUGGUGGUAAGGGAUGAAAUCAUGAAUAGCUGUCGUUUUGCCACAGUCUGUCUUCUUUUUAGCCUCUCCGUCCUUCCUAUAGCUGCAAAAUCCAUGACUUCCAAGAACAUAUAUUGGUCUGAGCUAUAGGAAAGCCCAGCUGGCAAAGGCAGCAGAGGCAGGGUUUCGCGUCUUCGCUGUUCCAGCCUGAGGGGGCUGUUAGUUGUCCAGACUGAGGUGCUCUGGGCUGAGCCCUUUUUAAUUCUUUUGAACGAAAAAAAACCAAACCAACAAACAAACAAGCCCACUUUUCUCCUAUGUGGCUUUCAAUGCUUUUGAACUAAAAGAUCUCUCACUUUUUCUGUGCGGCUUUUAGAAAAACACAAACCGUUCCCAACUGCGGUUCCACUAUCACAAGUUUGAACGUACUCAGUGGCUGCAAAAGGAUUAGAAGGGAAAGCGCUAACUGUGAAAAUAUUAGAAAAUAUUUGGCUGUUUUUACCAUACGUUUGGAAGGUCAAGGAGCCUCCCUGCUCUGCAGCUGAAGUCUAAGCUGCUCCGACGCAAAAUGUUUCCUCUUCGGCGAGCAGAAACAUCGCCAGACUCUGGGCUGCUGCCUUUUCCUUCCCCUCCGAUAGGCACUGUAAACCACGCGGCUGCUCAUAACUCUCUCAGGCCUUCUGCGUUGCUCAUUUUUCUUGCGAAGAUCAUUUUAAAUCCAGAUUAGCGUCGCAACCCAGCUCACGCUGCAGCUCUACAGCCACAACUGCGAAGCAGCAAGGGCAAACGGCUGCAGGAAGAGGAGGUGGCAGAGCGACGCCAGCAGCGGGCCACGGAGAGAAAUGCCUCCAGCGAUGUCUCUGGAAGGCGCGAUGAUUUUGCAAGCGGCUUGUUCUGGAGUGACGGCCGGCAGCCGUGCCGAAGAUACCCGCAGUUCCAAAACGGUUGCGUGCGGGGACGAGAAAACCUCGUGCCCUCCGUGAGGUAAAGACAGGCCUGAAAAAUUAUGCUUAUGGGGGAGAGAGGAGGAGAAGAGAGAGCGAUAGCUGUGUUUGUUCCUUCAGGUUUCUGCUUGGCCUUGCUAUGUUUAGACUAGACCGGACGGUACGAGGGGUGUUCUGUAUCUCAGGGUGCCUUGGGAAGUGGGAGUGCCCGUUGUGAGCCUUCAAAACUCCUCCCGGCCAGGGUUUCCGGACAUACAUUUGAUGCUUUUGACCCAGGCGGUGCUGCGCUGUAGCCUGACUGAGGUGUAAGCACAGGUCUUUUUUGAUCAGUUGUUUUGCCCUGGGCUUUUUUGGCUUUUUUGGUUUUUUUUUUUGCUUUUGCUAGCAGGGUCUAAUCAGACAAGGAGCUGAGGGAAAAACAAACUUCUUUAAGCGCUGGGAGACCUCUGCCCUUUUACCGCUGAAACAGGAAAGUCCCUCACUGCUCUGAUAGCGAAGCUGGAGAAAACAAAACACAAUGUUCCUCGUACUUCUAAGCAGUUGCUGGAAGGAAAAUUGCUCAGUUCUGAUAUGAAACUAUUCAUCUUACAUGGAAUGCUUGAAAAAUGGUGGCAUCUCUGCUUGGUGGUUGGAGAAAUACCAAGCUGGGACCUUGUUAUAGCCUCUUUGAUUGCCUUUAUCCCUUGUAAGGAGGCAAAAAGGGAACCAACCAAUUGUUUCUUAUAAAGCCUAUAAAAAACAUGAGAUCUACCACAUAAUUUCUGUAAACUGCUUAUUGUUUUCUGUACUAAAGAAGUUUAAUGAUCCCUUUGUCUUAACCUGUUUUCUUUUUCCCCUGGGCUAGAAAGAAAAUUCUUUGAAUGAAUGGAGAGGAAGGAAACAAAGCAGGGCGUGCGAUCACUUGCAGCUGUCCAGUUUUGCAAUGACAAGCAGACGUUAAUAUAGUAGGUUAGUCCCAGCAUUCACAUGUGAAAGCUCCAUUGUCUUUUUGCUGUAUCCUGAUGGAUUCUGCACGUUUUUAUCUGAGCAAAACUCUCACUGCUGUUUGCUAUGAGAGCUUUUUUGGGCGAGGAUUGACCAGAAGAUCAAAUGCACAGUUCCCAGCCUUUCCGGAAGGAGUGCUGCCUCUGAGACCCUCUCCGUGUCUCUGACAGUCAUUCUGCAGCACUCAUCCCCAAAUAAAGCAGAACGGUGCAAGACA